UGUGGUGUAUCUGUACAGCAGUUUCCUCAUCCCUGCAGCUGUGUUUGAACAGGUCAUUUACCAUGCUGUCCUCCAGGUUCAACAGUAUGGCUCCAAAUGAUGAAAUUUCACUUUGAUUUUCUGGCUGAAGACUAUUCUGUUUGUGUGCGUCCCCCACAGUUACUUUAUCCCUUCAUCUGUGGAUGGGCAGCUGGUUGGAGAAUUUGAACUGGAGAUGAACUUUAUUAUCCAGGAUGCUGAGAGUAUAGCAUGCAUGACAGAGCUUUUAGAGCACUGUGAUGUAACAUGUCAAGCAGAAAUAGGGAGCAUGUUUACAGCCAUUCUAUGAAAAAGUGUUCGGAAUGUACAGACUAGCACAGAAGUUGGGCUAAUUGAACAAGUAUUGCUGAAAAUGAGUUUGUAGAUGACAUGAUAGCAGCUAUGGGGUUGUCUGUCAGGAAAGUAUAACUUAAAUGUUUAUAAAGUUUCAUAUACUUCUCUUUAUAUUCUAAAGGUAAUGUAGAUUUUGUUGACACUACUUUGAUUUAAAAUAAGUGGAAAUGCAUGGAAAUUUUACUUUUUACAUUAAUGGAAAACCUGAGAGUGAAAGAAGAAAAACAUAAUGACUAAAGUAGACAAACAUAAUUACUAAUGUUGUUUUCUAAAUUUUAGAAAAUCUCAGUACCACGGAGUGCUAUGAAAUCUAUCAGAAAAAUAAACAGUAUCUUUUUAUGUAGUAUUUCAGUAAGCUUUUACAUAAUUAAAAUGCCACAAAAGGUAUUACAGUUCUGUAUAAAGAGCAUUUUACCAAAUUCCCCUAGUUCUGUGCCCCUCAAUCUGGCAUAUAUGCAACUAUGACAGGAGGUACUAAAAGCCUUAAAUAA